AGUGAACGCUGGCGGCAGGCCUAAUACAUGCAAGUCGAACGGCAGCACAGUAAGCGUUCGCCCCUACGGUUGGCGAGUGGCGGACGGGUGACACAUACAUCGCCUACUACUUUGACGGGGGGAACAACGGAGAGCAACUUAUACUAACACCUCAUAUGACCUACGGGAGAGAUCAGGGGAUCAACAGACUUUUCGCGUCUGAUUGAGCCGAUGCCGGAUUAGCUAGUUGGCGAGGUAAAGGCACACCAAGGCGACGAUGCGUAGCUGGUCUGAGAGGAUGAUCAGCCACACUGGAACUGAGACACGGUCCAGACUCCUACGGGAGGCAGCAGUGGGGAAUAUUCGACAAUGGGCGCAAGCCUGAUCCAGCCAUGCCGCGUGAGUGAAGAAGGCCUUCGGAUCGUAAAGCCCUUUUGUUGGGAAAGAACAACUGCGGAUUUAUCCCCCGACGUUCUGACGGUACCCAAAGAGUAAGCCCCGGCUAACUUCGUG
rnacentral:rRNA from 1 species